ACGGCUCAGUAACACGUAGGUCAACCUACCCUAUGGACGGGGAUAACCUCGGGAAACUGAGAAUAAUACCCGAUAGAUUAUGAUACCUGGAAUGGUUUAUGGUUCAAAUGAUUUAUCGCCAUAGGAUGGGACUGCGGUCUAUCAGCUUGUUGGUGAGGUAAUGGCCCACCAAGGCUAUAACAGAUACGGGCUCUGAGAGGAGGGGCCCGGAGAUGGGUACUGAGACACGGACCCAGGUCCUAUGGGGCGCAGCAGGCGAGAAACCUUUGCAAUGUGCGAAAGCACGACAAGGUUAAUCCGAGUGAUUCCUGCUAAAGGAAUCUUUUGUUAGUCAUAAAACCACUGAUGAAUAAGGGGUGGGCAAGUUCUGGUGUCAGCCGCCGCGGUAAUACCAGCACCUCGAGUGGUCAGGAGGUUUAUUGGGCCUAAAGCAUCCGUAGCCGGCUGCUCAAGUUUCCGGUUAAAUCCACACGCUUAACGUAUGGGCUGCCGGAAAUACUGUACAGCUAGGGAGUGGGAGAGGUGGACGGUACUCGAUAGGAAGGGGUAAAAUCCUUUGAUCUAUUGAUGACCACCUGUGGCGAAGGCGGUCCACCAGAACACGUUCGACGGUGAGGGAUGAAAGCUGGGGGAGCAAACCGGAUUAGAUACCCGGGCAGUCCCAGCUGUAAACGAUGCCGACUCGGUGAUGCAUUGGCUUGUGGCCAGUGCAGUGCCGCAGGGAAGCCGUUAAGUUUGCCGCCUGGGAAGUACGUACGCAAGUAUGAAACUUAAAGGAAUUGACGGGGGAGCACCACAAGGGGUGAAGCCUGCGGUUCAAUUGGAUUCAACGCCGGGA
rnacentral:rRNA from 1 species